GAUGAACGCUUUCUUCUUUCCUAAUACAUGCAAGUCGAGCGAACAGACGAGGAGCUUGCUCCUCUGACGUUAGCGGCGGACGGGUGAGUAACACGUGGAUAACCUACCUAUAAGACUGGGAUAACUUCGGGAAACCGGAGCUAAUACCGGAUAAUAUAUUGAACCGCAUGGUUCAAUAGUGAAAGACGGUUUUGCUGUCACUUAUAGAUGGAUCCGCGCCGCAUUAGCUAGUUGGUAAGGUAACGGCUUACCAAGGCAACGAUGCGUAGCCGACCUGAGAGGGUGAUCGGCCACACUGGAACUGAGACACGGUCCAGACUCCUACGGGAGGCAGCAGUAGGGAAUCUUCCGCAAUGGGCGAAAGCCUGACGGAGCAACGCCGCGUGAGUGAUGAAGGUCUUCGGAUCGUAAAACUCUGUUAUUAGGGAAGAACAAAUGUGCAAGUAACUAUGCACGUCUUGACGGUACCUAAUCAGAAAGCCACGGCUAACUACGUG
rnacentral:rRNA from 1 species